AAAUUACGACAGCCAACGUCGAAAGAAAACAAGAAACUCGGUACUCUGGCAAGCAAUUUAUAACAAAUUUUAAAAGCGUUGCGGCACAAAAAGAAACUUCAUCGAUCGAAAAAGGUUGACUGGCUGGCUAAGUGGCGAGUGGCGUAAGCACAAAUAGGCGGACGAAACUAAAAGACCGACUGGCUAGAUGACUGAUUGUUGUUGUCGUUGUACUCUUGCUGUUGCUGUGUAUUCUCUUUGUUAUUGCCUUUUACAACACUAGGGUCAUUUAAAAUUAACGCAACAUUAUUAUUGUUUCGAUGGUAUUUGAAUGGCAAGGAUAAUUAGGAAAAUGUGUGCAACUGGAAGGCGAAAAAACAAUCGACAAGAAGUGUAAACACAGUACCAACAAAUUGACCGCAAUUAAAAGGUAAUCAGGUUAAACUACACAUAAUCGACAAUUGCGGGGAUACGUUAUUACUAAUACAGGUAUGCAUUGAAAUUUUCUUGAAAAGUUUUCAAUACCACCUAUUACCAAAUUCAAUGUAGGCUUUUAUAAAGCUUAAGAAAAGUUGUUUAUAUCUUUUCACUUUUAAAUUUAUACCCGACUGAUAUAAUUCUAUAAUUUAUACGUUUCGCAAAGGCUGUUUAAGCGUUAAGUACUUGAUUGUUGCUGAUGUUCUGAUUUUAUUAUUUAACUUAAUUAAAAUAUAAAGUUUUCCCGCAAACUAUAAAGCUAUUGAGCUUCUCAUCUUAUCCGUGGUAGCCGAACAUUCUGCUGCUUUAUGCCUUUUAGAGAGACACUUUACGUCGCAGGCAACCAGAUGUGAGAGGAUGUAAAAAGAAGCUACCUUGCAGUAAGAAUAAGGAAAAUGCUAAAGCUGUAAUAUUGUAUCUUAAUUUGGAACUAAAAUCGAGCCUUGUCAUCAAAAGGGAACAAAGGACCUCUGGCCAGCAGACUCGGCGUGUUUUAUAAAUGCUCCGCCAAAAAUGCUCUCAACAAGACGACUUACAGCCACGUAGGCUUGUACACAUUUUUGAUAAAGUGAAACUAACUAAAGUAACUUUCUUGGAAGAACAUAGAUGUCUACCUCCUACUGAUAUUAAUAAUAUCAAUAGAUGUAGCAAAGGAUAGCUGAAUAGAUGAUAUCACUCUCUCCGUGUCACUGUGAUUUGUUAAGUUAUUUACCUUACACACCGUAGUAUCUACUGACAUAUUACGUCCUAAGUGAAUUUGCUGCAUCACACGCUCUUAGUUGAAUUUAACCUAACUUUGGUCAAAUAUACGGUAAACUAAUCGCCCGCAAAAUUGCUCUAUACGUUUCAAUAUUGUUAUUUGAUAAAGGAACACGUACGACCCAUGUGGGUUAAAAAAUUUUGAAUCAUUGUUUCUAAUAUUAUACGCAUUACGGAAAGCUAGAUCUAGAAGGGAAUUAAAUAGUUGUCGCUUCAGAAACUUCGAUGCUUAAAAAGUUUCUAGCAUUCGAUGAUCAUCAACCGGAAAACGAAUGAUAGAAAUUGGCACAGAUACAAUUCUGAAUAUUCAUUAUCCAAAACCAUUACCGUAAACUAUUUAAAAAAACCGAUUACACAACAAGAAAAUCAUUUCGCUGUGCCAUUAGCUGAUUCGAGUAAAUAUCCAUCUCCAGAAACCUGCGAAGACUCAAGAAAAUCUUAAAACUUAUUGGUAACACGGGACAAUGCUAAUGCAAUGGUGCACAAAACAUAACAUCAAUAGUGGAAGCAGAAAUCGCAUAAAGUAUGUAACAAAACAUUGCUAUGCCGUCUACGAAGUGGAGAGAGUAGCACAAUAGGUAGCGC